rnacentral:tRNA from 1 species
AGCAGGGUAUAGUGGUUUGAGUGCUGGACUAUGACUCUGGAGACCCGGGUUCAAUUCCCGGCUCAGCCA